rnacentral:pre_miRNA from 1 species
UUGUGGGGAACAUUCAACGCUGUCGGUGAGUUUGUAGCUCUGAAAAAAAACCAUCGACUGUUGAGUGUACCCUAACU